GAAAGGCAGCGACACGGGGGAGGAGAGGGUGCCAAGCCCUCUCAGAAAUCGCCUACAUAUGUCCAUUUGCUUUAUAACUGCAGUAUGGUUUAUUCCAUUUCAGAGGAUGAAUUAAAACGCGAGAGACGGUGAGAGAUGAUACUUCAGCUCAGCGGAAAAUAAAAUGCGGUCCAGAUGUUUCACAGCACCCCUUCUUCAGCCCCAUCCUGCUGAGCUGGUCUCUCGGCAUGCAAUGCCCACUCUGGUUUCAACUUUUGACCUUCAGAGAGGUAAUCUUUAAAUGAUAAUUCCUGGUAGGAGAAGGUACAAAAUAAUUAUUUAAUGUAAAACCUUUUAAUGUCUGCAUCUUCUACCAAAACAAAGAACACACUAGCUCUUUGGCAGAAGUUUCUAGUUAAACAAUAAUCAAUAUUAAGGAUGCAAGGAACAAAGAGCUUCAUUUAGCGGCUUAGGAAUUACAAUUCAGGCGACACAAAUUCUGGUAAAACUGAAAAUGUUCUGGGGAAGAAAAAGAGACAGAGGCUUAUAGAAAACCACGAGGUUAUUAAAGUUGUCUGGCAGGAAUUAUGGUUGCUUCUGACACUGGAAAGGAGAUAUUUGUCCUUAAGGGAAAAGCUGUCAUGAGUCAUUUUAGGGUAAGUGUCUCUUAAGUAUCUUGUUUCUGGAACAUUGGGAAGAUGUUCUGAAUGCCUGCGUUAAGACAAUUAGUCUUUGAAGUUCAGAUUCCAUUAAGGCUGAGCUGAGCAUAAGUCGUACUUCCUCAAUGGCCUCCUGGCUCUAUUUUACAGCAUUCUCUUACAAUACUGACUCCAUUCUGAUUUUCCUUUUCCAUUCUUAGAUGCAACUUUGUAAGAGCCCUCCAAGUUGGAAGUUGAACAGUUAGUAGAGAGCAAGGGGAAAUGCCUUACUUUUUCUGAUGUUAAAGCCUAUGCUCAAUAGUCAGCAAAGCCCAGGCAUGUUAUUGAUGUUGGUAUCCAGCCUUAUAAGAACUGGCUACAUGCAGCUUACAGGGCAAGAAUUCUACCUGGAUUUCGUUGCUGUGUGGAAGGAAGAGUGGCCAUGCUACAGACCAGCUAACCUGAAGGACUGAGCUACACUCAGCUGUGCUGUGUUUUUCAUUCCUGUCACACUGAAUAUAUUAUUACUCCUUCCCGAUGAGGACUACGUGAGGGACUUAGAGACCAACUUCCCAAGUAUUCACAAGUUCUUACUGUAGGAAUAAAAACAGAAAGGCAAGAAGAGGACAAAAGUAGUUGAUCUUACACUGGGUAUAUGCUGGUGAUAUAGCGUCUAUAAACUUUAUUAUAAUACUUGAGCCUGAUUUAUAACCAAACCUCUGUGCUUCCCAAGCUACUGUAACUGUCUUACUAGCAACAUCAAGGGGCCGUUAUAAGACUCGAAUGUGCACUUUAAAAUUUGUCCUCCCCAGAGCAAACAGCGCAAUGAUGCUACACAAACUACAUAUGUUGGAAUCUAUAAUCUCUCAGAUACAUCUUUUUUCACCUUAAACACAGAGCAUGUUGACUUUAAGAUGAGAAAAAGAAAUGUGCUACAAGGUUAUUCAUCUUCUUUCCUCCCUUGAUUCUGAGAUUUCUAUUAGGAGAUGAAGUGAAUUCCAGUUAAUAGAAAACAGUGUAUAUGAAGGAUUCAACUUCAGAGACACAGUUGAGUCUUCAUGAUAUAGCAUUAUAGAUGGAAAAUGUUUACAUUAAAAUCAUAUGAAAAAAUGUUCUCAGUGAAAGGAGACAAAAUACCAGAAAGUAAAAUUAAUCCUAAUCAAAAACUCAGAUGUGCAAUCAGCAACCAUCAGUAAGUAGGAUAGAACUGAAGAAUAUAUUUGAUUUUAUUUUUCACAAAUGCAGACAGUGAAUUUGUACAAAAGGAAUUGUUCUUCAUUUUAUACAAGUGGUUUCUUUGUCCAUUCUCUUUCUCUUUGUUCUUGAUUCAUUUCAGUAAUGUCCAUUACGAGGAAAGGAAAUUAAAGGACCUAUAUUAUUAUAAAGGUUUGACAUUCAAUAAAUCAUAUUUUUGAAAAAA